rnacentral:lncRNA from 1 species
AAUGCUUGUAACAGCACUGUCCUGAACUUGCAGGAGGCUUCCUUUUCAUCUUCCCAUGAAAGGAGAGGAAGAAACAGCUGCUAACUGGGGACUGAGCUCCUGUGUGCAGGCCGUAGAAACAGAGUUAAUACCACUGCUGAAAGACACGUGUAACAGAAUCUGUUCUGCCCACAUGCUAUCUGAAAGGAUUGUAUAUCAGUGGCAUAAUAAUUGGAUCAAAGAUGCCAGUUUUCCCUACAGUGAUUUAUUAUCUUUCUGCGUCCUGAAUUUCUUCCAGGAUAAAAAUAAUCAGGUUUGCUUUUGUGAGUGAAUCAAAAUGUAUGUUUUAUGGUAAGAUGACUCAGAGAAGACUUCUUUCAGUCAUCAUUGUCUUUUUCAAAGAUAUGGUCUUAAAUUUCCAUGCAAGGUAGAUCUGCAAAGUAUGGAUCAAAAUAAUAAUAACAAAACCUGCAGAAUUUAUGAAUGAGUUUCUAUUGAAAUUCCAAUGCCUACAAUGGAAAGAGAAUACCCUCUGAUACAGACUUUAUUAUAGAGUUUCCAUCUAUAAAGAAAAUACAGAAAGAUACAGAAAGGAGACUGGUUUCAGCCAUUUCUAUUCUCUAUGAAAUAAGGAUAAGAGCAUAUCAAGGGGAUAGCUGCAUAUAUGUGGCUUCAAGUAAAGGUAAAGUAACAGUACCAAAGCACCAAAACUCUGAAAGUUCUCCAAAGGAUGAAGUGAAUGGUGUUUUCAAAAUAGCCCAUUUCUUACAAAGAAACAAGAACAAAAAAACCCAAACCAAACCACCAACAAAAAAAAACAGACAUGGAUUCUAAAACCACAAAGGCAGAUAUAAAGGUAUUUAGAAUUUUACUAGAGUAUGUCAGUGACUAAUUCUCUAAUUUUCCCUUCUC